ACUACCCUUCGGAACACAAUACCCUCGGGAAACUGAGGCUAAUAGUGUAUACCACAGUCCACCUGGAAUGAGGACUGUGCCAAACGCUCCGGCGCCGAAGGAUGUGGCUGCGGCCGAUUAGGUAGACGGUGGGGUAACGGCCCACCGUGCCAAUAAUCGGUACGGGUCAUGAGAGUGAGAACCCGGAGACGGAAUCUGAGACAAGAUUCCGGGCCCUACGGGGCGCAGCAGGCGCGAAACCUUUACACUGCACGACAGUGCGAUAAGGGAAUCCCAAGUGCGUAGGCAUAGAGCCUACGCUUUUGUCCACCCUAGGGCGGUGGACGAAUAAGGGCUGGGCAAGACCGGUGCCAGCCGCCGCGGUAAUACCGGCAGCCCAAGUGAUGGCCGAUUUUAUUGGGCCUAAAGCGUCCGUAGCUGGCCGCACAAGUCCAUCGGAAAAUCCACCCGCUCAACGGGUGGGCGUCCGGUGGAAACUGUGUGGCUUGGGACCGGAAGGCGCGACGGGUACGUCCGGGGUAGGAGUGAAAUCCCGUAAUCCUGGACGGACCGCCGAUGGCGAAAGCACGUCGCGAGAACGGAUCCGACAGUGAGGGACGAAAGCUAGGGUCUCGAACCGGAUUAGAUACCCGGGUAGUCCUAGCCGUAAACAAUGCCUGCUAGGUGUGGCUCCCACUAC
rnacentral:rRNA from 1 species